UGGUGGAGUGAUUUGUCUGGUUAAUUCCGUUAACGAACGAGACCUCAGCCUACUAAAUAGUUGGAGGAACUUUUAGUUCUUUUACAACUUCUUAGAGGGACAUUCGGUUUCUAGCCGAAGGAAGUUUGAGGCAAUAACA
rnacentral:rRNA from 1 species